rnacentral:rRNA from 1 species
UCAAUAAGCGGAGGAAAAGAAACCAACAGGGAUUGCCCUAGUAACGGCGAGUGAAGCGGCAACAGCUCAAAUUUGAAAUCUGGCGCAAGCCCGAGUUGUAAUUUGUAGAGGAUGCUUCUGGGCAGCGGCCGGUCUAAGUUCCUUGGAACAGGACGUCACAGAGGGUGAGAAUCCCGUAUGUGACCGGCGCGCACCCUCCACGUAGCUCCUUCGACGAGUCGAGUUGUUUGGGAAUGCAGCUCUAAAUGGGAGGUAAAUUUCUUCUAAAGCUAAAUACCGGCCAGAGACCGAUAGCGCACAAGUAGAGUGAUCGAAAGAUGAAAAGCACUUUGGAAAGAGAGUUAAAAAGCACGUGAAAUUGUUGAAAGGGAAGCGCUUGCAACCAGACUCCGCGGCGGUGUUCCGCCGGUCUUCUGACCGGUCCACUCGCCGCCGCGGGGCCAACAUCGUCUGGGGCCGCCGGACAAGACUGGAGGAAUGUAGCUCCCUCGGGAGUGUUAUAGCCUUCAGUGAUGCGGCGCGUCCCGGGCGAGGUCCGCGCUUCGGCAAGGAUGUUGGCGUAAUGGUUGCCAGCGGCCCGUCUUGAAACACGGACCAAGGAGUCUAACAUCUAUGCGAGUGUUCGGGUGUCAAACCCCUACGCGUAAUGAAAGUGAACGGAGGUGGGAGCUUCGGCGCACCAUCGACCGAUCCUGAUGUCCUCGGAUGGAUUUGAGUAAGAGCAUAGCUGUUGGGACCCGAAAGAUGGUGAACUAUGCCUGAAUAGGGUGAAGCCAGAGGAAACUCUGGUGGAGGCUCGCAGCGGUUCUGACGUGCAAAUCGAUCGUCAAAUUUGGGUAUAGGGGCGAAAGACUAAUCGAACCAUCUAGUAGCUGGUUCCUG